GGAACAAAAAUCAUUGGAGAAACUUGUCUUUGUUCUAGUUUUAAUGUGGGAAAUUCCUUUUCAGUCAAUCUUGUUCCUCUGCUUGGGUUUAAGACUGGCUUCAAAAUAUUCUUGUGACCAGAUCUUGGUUACAUACUAGACCCACCCAUUUGUGAAUUUUGUCAAGAAAGUUCUUUGGGCCAAGUUUGUUCACUAGUUAGUUAUUGGUAGUGGCUGCUAAGUUAGUUUCAAAUUUGUGCAAGGAAUUCUACUUGUUAUGGUUAACUUUUUUGUGACUGAGCAGAUUUGGUUUCUCUCUGAAAGGUGAAACUUUGGAAAUUCCAUGGACUCUGCAUGUCAAUGAAGUUUCCAAAUCUUGGUUUUGCAUAGCUCUUGUACCUGGAUUUCUCUUUGGAAUCUUCUGUUCUGCCCCAGUUGUGGAUUCUGGGUCACUGGUUUCACUUUCAAAGUUCAAAUGGAGGUCGGGGGAAAUGGGUGAAGGGUGGUUCAAGAAAUGGGUAUAGUUUGGACAUUGAUGUCUCCUAUAGCCUCAUGAUAGUCAGGUUAGGAAUUCUAGUAGCUGCUUCCAUUGCAGCCUAUACAGUUAAGCAGCUGAAUGUGAAUAGCUCAAUAUCAGAUGGUGAAGCUAGGUUUAGAAAACAUCAAGAUGAGAAUAAAGAACAGGAGCAGGUCCCUUGUUCUACUAAUGGUCUCAAUGAGAAGAUUAGGGAAGAGGAAGAGCAAGAAGAGGAGGUGAAGUUAAUUAGCAGCAUAAUCAAUCGAACUAAUGAUUUUGAAGAUGAUAUUCCACCUGAACUUGAAAGCCUUCUAUCUGGAGAGAUUGAGAUUUCUCCAGUUGCUGACAAGACUGAUGAGGCCAAGAAAGACAGUGUUUAUGAAAUUGAAAUGGAAAACAAUGCUAGGGAAAUGGAACGGUUGCGGAAUGUAGUGACAGAGUUGGAGGAGAGGGAAUUGAAACUUGAAGGCGAAUUGCUUGAGUACUAUGGUUUGAAGGAGCAGGAAUCAGACAUUCUGGAGUUGCACAGGCAGUUGAAAGUUAAGGAUGUGGAAAUAGAUAUGCUCAAUAUGACCAUUAAUUCCUUGCAGGAAGAGAGGAAGAAGUUUCAAGAAGAGCUUGCACAUGCAGCUACAGCCAAGAGAGAACUUGAUGUUGCCAAAAGCAAGAUCAAGGAAUUGAAAAGGCAGAUACAGCUUGAGGCUAACCAGGCAAAAGCCCAGUUGUUGUUGCUUAAACAAAAAGUUGCUGGUUUACUAGCAAAAGAAGAAGAGGCUGUCAAGAGAGAUGCUGAAAUUGAGAAGAAAUUCAAAGCUGUGAAUGACUUGGAGGUUGAAGUUGUGGAGCUUAAGAGAAAAAACAAAGAACUUCAACAUGAGAAGCGAGAACUAACUGUUAAACGCAAUGCAGCUGAAUCUAGGAUCAUGGAACUCUCUAAUGUGACAGAGAAUGAAAUGGUUGUUAAGGCAAAAGAGGAGGUCAGUUGCUUGAGGCAUGUGAACGAAGACCUGAUAAAGCAAGUGGAAGGACUCCAGAUGAAUAGGUUCAGUGAAGUUGAAGAGCUUGUAUACCUUCGUUGGGUCAAUGCAUGCUUAAGAUAUGAACUCAGGAAUUACCAGGUACCUCAAGGAAAAUUAUCAGCCUGUGAUCUAAACACAAGUCUCAGCCCAAAAUCACAGGAGAAGGCUAAGCAGCUUUUGUUAGAAUAUGCUGGUUCAGAGUGUGGGGAAGGUGACACAGAACCUGAUAGCAGCUUCUCUCAUCCCUCUUCACCAGGCAGUGAAGAGUUUGACAAUGCUUCUAUUGAUAGCUCUACUAGUAAACACAGUAGUCUUGGCAAGAAAGUUAGCUUGAUCCAAAAGUUGAAGAAAUGGGGUAAAAGCAAAGACGAUUCUAAUGCUUUUUCAACACCAGCCAGAUUUCUUUCAGGCGACUCCCCUAGCAGGAUGAGUACGAGAAAUAGAACUAAGGGUCCAUUGGAAUCCUUGAUGCUAAGGAAUGCUGCUGAUACUGUAGCCAUCACUACACUUGGACAGAAAGAUCAGGAACCUACUGGUUCUCUUGAAACUCUUGCUCUUCCUAACAUAAGAAGAGUUUCAUCCAGUGACUCCUUAAAUUCUGUUGCAACUUCAUUCCAAUUGAUGUCUAAGACAGUUGUUGGGUCUCUGGAUGAAAAAUAUCCUGCAUAUAACGACCGCCAUAUAUUGGCCUUAGCAAGGGAGAAACAUAUUAAGGAAAAGGCUGAGAAAGCAAGAACACAGAAGUUUGGGGACAAUUCAAAUUUGAAUGUGACCAAGGCUGAAAGAGAGAGGCCAAUAUCUUUGCCACCAAAACUUACUCAAAUAAAUGAGAGGGCAUAUGUUUCUGGUAGUCCAAAUGAUUAUUCUGACAAUGCUAAGAGUGUCAAUAAUCAAAUCAUUAGCAAGAUGAAGCUUGCCCCCAUAGAGAAAAGGCCUCCUAGGGUGCCCCAGCCACCUCCUAAACCAUCUGAUGAUGCUCAUAUUAGUACAGAUUCAAACCCUUCUAAUGGAGUACCUUAUGCUCCAUUUGUGCCUUCACCUCCAGCACCACCAGGUGCACCACCUCCACCUCCACCUCCACAAGGAAGUCUAUCAAGAGGAGCAUUAGCUGGUGACAAAGUUCACCGCGCUCCGGAUUUAGUUGAAUUUUAUCAAACAUUAAUGAAACGGGAGGCAAAGAAAGACACUUUAUCAUUAACUUUUUCAACAACUAAUGCUUCUGAUGCCAGGAGCAACAUGAUUGGGGAAAUUGAGAAUAGAUCAUCAUUCCUCUUAGCUGUGAAAGCUGAUGUAGAAACACAGGGUGAUUUUGUAACAUCCUUGGCAAGUGAAGUUCGAGCAGCUUCCUUCUCUAAGAUUGAAGAUCUAGUGGCCUUUGUGAACUGGCUAGAUGAAGAACUUUCCUUCUUGGUUGAUGAACGAGCUGUUCUCAAGCACUUUGAUUGGCCUGAAGGAAAAGCAGAUGCACUGAGGGAGGCAGCUUUUGAAUAUCAAGAUUUGAUGAAAUUGGAGAAGCAAGUCUCCACCUUCACUGAUGAUCCCAAACUCCCAUGUGAAGCCGCUUUGCAGAAAAUGUACUCAUUGCUUGAAAAAUUCAUACUCUGCAAGUCACAGAUAGAACUUGACAUAUACUUGUUUAGUUUGAUGUUUCUUGAAUGGAACAAAGUGUAUAUGCACUCUUACGGACUAGAGAUAUGGCUAUUUCACGGUAUAAAGAGUUUGGAAUACCAGUAAAUUGGAUUUUAGAUUCUGGGGUCGUGGGCAAGAUCAAGCUUUCUUCUGUGCAGCUGGCGAAGAAGUAUAUGAAACAUGUUGCAUCUGAACUUGAUAUAUUAUGUGGACCUGAGAAGGAACCGGCAAGAGAGUUUUUGAUUCUGCAAGGUGUGCGUUUUGCUUUUCGUGUUCAUCAGUUUGCAGGAGGCUUUGAUAAAGAGAGCAUGAAGGCUUUUGAAGAACUAAGGAGCCACAUUCAUUCUCAAGCAGGUGAAGAUAAUACACCUGAAACGUAGAUGAUCAUCAAAAGAAUUUUUUUCUUCUUUCUAAUUUUUUUACACUAGUAGUUGCUUCUAACAUAUGUUACCUUUCUCAGCUGAAUGUGUCAUUCUUCUGGUUCAAUUUUCAUUGAAUGUACAUAUGCUUACUGAAUGUAACACAUAAUUAAAAAAUAAUCAUACUUGUUCGGU